rnacentral:rRNA from 1 species
GACGAACGCUGGCGGCGUGCCUAAUACAUGCAAGUUGAGCGCUGAAGGUUGGUACUUGUACCAACUGGAUGAGCAGCGAACGGGUGAGUAACGCGUGGGGAAUCUGCCUUUGAGCGGGGGACAACAUUUGGAAACGAAUGCUAAUACCGCAUAAAAACUUUAAACACAAGUUUUAAGUUUGAAAGAUGCAAUUGCAUCACUCAAAGAUGAUCCCGCGUUGUAUUAGCUAGUUGGUGAGGUAAAGGCUCACCAAGGCGAUGAUACAUAGCCGACCUGAGAGGGUGAUCGGCCACAUUGGGACUGAGACACGGCCCAAACUCCUACGGGAGGCAGCAGUAGGGAAUCUUCGGCGAUGGACGAAAGUCUGACCGAGCAACGCCGCGUGAGUGAAGAAGGUUUUCGGAUCGUAAAACUCUGUUGGUAGAGAAGAACGUUGGAGAGAGUGGAAAGCUCAUCAAGUGACGGUAACUACCCAGAAAGGGACGGCUAACUACGUG